UGAAGGGCCGUAGCUCAGUGGCAGAGCACCUGCCUUGCAUGCAUAAGGCUCCAGGUUCAGUCCCUGCCCUCUCCCAG